UACAGAGGUCUCGAGCGUUGUUCGGAUUCAUUGGGCGUAAAGGGCGCGUAGGCGGCGGGGUAAGUCUGGUGUGAAAUCUAGGAGCUCAACUCCUAAACUGCACUGGAUACUGCUCUGCUAGAGGACUGGAGAGGAGACUGGAAUUCACGGUGUAGCAGUGAAAAUGCGUAGAUAUCGUGAGGAAGACCAGUGGCGAAGGCGGGUCUCUGGACAGUUCCUGACGCUGAGGCGCGAAGGCCAGGGGAGCAAACGGG
rnacentral:rRNA from 1 species